rnacentral:rRNA from 1 species
UAUUUAUUAGAUAAAAAACCAAUGCCCUUCGGGGCUCCUUGGUGAUUCAUAAUAACUUAACGAAUCGCAUGGCCUUGCGCCGGCGAUGGUUCAUUCAAAUUUCUGCCCUAUCAACUUUCGAUGGUAAGAUAGUGGCUUACCAUGGUCUCAACGGGUAACGGGGAAUUAGGGUUCUAUUCCGGAGAGGGAGCCUGAGAAACGGCUACCACAUCCAAGGAAGGCAGCAGGCGCGCAAAUUACCCAAUCCCAAUUCGGGGAGGUAGUGACAAUAAAUACUGAUACGGGGCUCUUUCGGGUCUCGUAAUUGGAAUGAGUACAAUCUAAAUCCCUUAACGAGGAACAAUUGGAGGGCAAGUCUGGUGCCAGCAGCCGCGGUAAUUCCAGCUCCAAUAGCGUAUAUUAAAGUUGUUGCAGUUAAAAAGCUCGUAGUUUGAUUUCUGGACGGGCGCCAACACCCGCUUGUUUAGUGUGGAGGCGGCGCCCGCCCAUCCUUCUGUUAACGCCACCGGCAUUCGUUUGCUGGCGGCGGGCUCAGAUAUUUUACCUUGAGAAAAUUAGAGUGUUUUCAGGCAGGCU